rnacentral:piRNA from 1 species
UGCUCGGACCAUAGAGAGGGCCUCCUGG